AGAGAGAAAGAGAGCAUUUGCCAUAUUUCAUUUCAUAACGGCUACCUCUCAAGAGCGUAGGGUUACAUAAUCAGAUUGUUGCCUAACACUCUGCUG